rnacentral:rRNA from 1 species
GUGGGGAAUUUUGGACAAUGGGCGCAAGCCUGAUCCAGCAAUGCCGCGUGCAGGAAGAAGGCCUUCGGGUUGUAAACUGCUUUUGUACGGAACGAAACGGUCCGGGUUAAUACCCUGGGCUAAUGACGGUACCGUAAGAAUAAGCACCGGCUAACUACGUGCCAGCAGCCGCGGUAAUACGUAGGGUGCAAGCGUUAAUCGGAAUUACUGGGCGUAAAGCGUGCGCAGGCGGUUUUGUAAGACAGGCGUGAAAUCCCCGGGCUCAACCUGGGAAUUGCGCUUGUGACUGCAAGGCUGGAGUGAGGCAGAGGGGGAUGGAAUUCCGCGUGUAGCAGUGAAAUGCGUAGAUAUGCGGAGGAACACCGAUGGCGAAGGCAAUCCCCUGGGCCUGCACUGACGCUCAUGCACGAAAGCGUGGGGAGCAAACAGGAUUAGAAACCCUUGUAGUCC